CACGUAGGGCGCAAGCGUUGUCCGGAAUUAUUGGGCGUAAAGAGCUCGUAGGCGGUCUGUUACGUCUGCUGUGAAAACCCGGGGCGUUAACCCUCGGGCUUGCAGUGGAUACGGGCAGACUAGAGGCAGGUAGGGGAGAAUGGAAUUCCCGGUGUAGCGGUGAAAUGCGCAGAUAUCGGGAGGAACACCGGUGGCGAAGGCGGUUCUCUGGGCCGUGACCUGACGCUGAGGAGCGAAAGCGUGGGGAGCGAAACAGGAUUGAGA
rnacentral:rRNA from 1 species